GACGUAGGGGGCCAGCGUUGUUCGGAAUUACUGGGUGUAAAGGGUCCGUAGGCGGUGUGACAAGUCGGUAGUGAAAUCUCCGGGCUUAACUCGGAGGCUGCUGCCGAAACUGUUGUGCUAGAGUGCGAGAGAGGCGAGUGGAAUUGCGGGUGUAGCGGUGAAAUGCGUAGAUAUCCGCAGGAACAUCCGAGGCGAAAGCGGCUCGCUGGAUCGCAACUGACGCUGAGGGACGAAAGCUAGGGGAGCAAACAGG
rnacentral:rRNA from 1 species